CUGACCUCGAAUCAGGUGGGGACUACCCGCUGAACUUAAGCAUAUCAA
rnacentral:rRNA from 1 species